GGGGAAUCUUGCGCAAUGGGCGAAAGCCUGACGCAGCGACGCCGCGUGGGUGAUGAAGGCCUUCGGGUUGUAAAGCCCUGUGGAGAGGGACGAAUAAGUUCGACCUAAUACGUCGGGCGAUGACGGUACCUCUUUAGCAAGCACCGGCUAACUCUGUGCCAGCAGCCGCGGUAAGACAGAGGGUGCAAACGUUGUUCGGAAUUACUGGGCGUAAAGCGCGUGUAGGCGGUCGUGCAAGUCGGGUGUGAAAGCCCAGGGCUCAACCCUGGAAGUGCAUUCGAUACUGCAUGGCUAGAGUCCCGGAGAGGAUGGUGGAACUCUCGGUGUAGAGGUGAAAUUCGUAGAUAUCGAGAAGAACACCGGUGGCGAAGGCGGCCAUCUGGACGGUGACUGACGCUGAGACGCGAAAGCGUGGGGAGCAAACA
rnacentral:rRNA from 1 species